rnacentral:rRNA from 1 species
AAGGGGCUAAACACCCCGACCUCCAACCCUCUGUUGUUAAAACUACCUUUGUUGCUUUGGCGGGACCGCUCGGUCCUCCGAGCCGCCAGGACCCCUCACAGGGUUCGCGGCGAGCGCCCGCCAGAGUUAAACCAAACUCUUGUUAAUAAACCGGUCGUCUGAGUAAAAAUUUUGAAUUAAAUCAAAACUUUCAACAACGGAUCUCUUGGUUCUCGCAUCGAUGAAGAACGCAGCGAAAUGCGAUAAGUAAUGUGAAUUGCAGAAUUCAGUGAAUCAUCGAAUCUUUGAACGCACAUUGCGCCCCUUGGUAUUCCGAGGGGCAUGCCUGUUCGAGCGUCAUUACACCACUCAAGCACUGCUUGGUAUUGGGCUCACCGUCCCCGCCAGUCGGGGGCGUGCCUCAAACACCUCGGCGGAGCCUCACCGGCUUUGGGCGUAGUAGAUUUUCUAAUAACGUCCUUUAACGGAGAGUUGCUUCUUUGCCGAUUGAAGACUUACACUUCUUAAGGUUGACCUCGGAUCAGGUAGGGAUACCCGCUGAACUUAAGCAUAUCAUAA